AUUGAACGCUGGCGGCAGGCCUAACACAUGCAAGUCGAACGAGUGGCGGACGGGUGAGUAAUGUCUGUGACACUGCCCGAUGGAGGGGGAUAACUACUGGAAACGGUAGCUAAUACCGCAUACCAUCGGAUGUGCCCAGAUGGGAUUAGCUAGUGGGUGGGGUAAUGGCUCACCUAGGCGACGACCCCUAGCUGGUCUGAGGGGAUGACAGGCCACACGGGAACGGAGACACGGUCCAGAGUCGUACGGGGGGCAGCAGUGGGGAAUAUUGCACAAUGGGCGCAAGCCUGAUGCAGCCAUGCCGGGUGUAUGAAGAAGGCCUUCGGGUUGUAAAGUACUGUCAGCGGGGAGGCGUUACCCGCAGACGAAGCACCGGCUAACUCCGUGCCAGAGCCGCGGUAAUUC
rnacentral:rRNA from 1 species